rnacentral:lncRNA from 1 species
CUACCAAUUAAUGUACUUGUCUAUGUAUCUUAUCUUAACUUGAGCCUCUGCUGCCCCUAAUGAGGCGUGAAGAACUCUUCUCCCCUGGAGAAGUUUUUCUUUUUCAGGAGGGAGGAGGGCUUUCCCAGGUAAUGUCUCUAGAGCGUUGGGCAGAAGAAUCUGGGACCACACCACACCAGUUCUCUCCUUAAUCCACGUCAUUUGCCUUCUAUCCCAGCUAUGUUUCCAGUGUCCUCUGGGUGUUUCCAAGAGCAACAAGAAACGAAUAAAUCUCUGACGGAGAUUCACUCUUGUUGCCCAGGCUGGAGUGCAAUGGCACAAUUUCGGCUCUCCACAAUCUCUGCCUCCCAGAUUCAAGCUAUUCUCCUGCCUCUGUCUCCCGAGGAGCUGGGAUUACAGAUGAAAGCACCAUUAUCAAGUAAGAAGAGCACAAGUCAAACCACUGUAAGUUGAGGACUCUCUGUACUUUCUUAAAUGUUUGAUAGAAUUCACCUGAGAAAGCAUGUAGCCUGUAAUUAUAGAAAUCUUUUUAAAUUAAAAAAAUUCUUCAAUACAUAGAGAAGCUAUUACUUUUUCUAUUUCAUUUUGCAUUAGUUUUAAGAAUUAGUUUUACAAAUAAUUUCCCAUGUUAUUUUAAUUGUCAAAUGUAUUGGCCUAAAGUUUUCAUAAUUAUAUUGAUGUCUGUAGGUUCUGUAGUUACAUCCUCUAUUUAAUUCCCAUUAUCUACAUUAUGUAGCUUCUCUAAUUUUUUUCGAGAUAAAUCUUGCUAGCCAUUGUUUAUUAAAAAAAUUUUUUUCAAAGAACCAAUUUGUGGGUAUAUUAAUUAGCUCCACCUUUUGUUAUUUGCUAUGUUGUUGGUUUACAUUUUUAUCUUUAUCAUCUUCCUUCUUCUUAAUUUGGAUAUACUUUGCUUAUUUUUUAGCCUCUUAAAAAAGAACUUAAAGGUCAUUGAUUGAAGCCUUUUAUUUUCAAUAUAUUACAUCUAUAAAUGUACCUUUAAGAAACGAUUUAUCUGCAUCCCACAUUUUAUUAAGUUUUUAAAAAAUUUUAUUUCAGUUUAAACUAUUUUUUUUGUGUGUGAAACUUUUCUUGGCCAAUGGGUUUUUCUGAAGUAUUUUGUUUAAUGUUCAAAUGUUGGGGUGUUAUUGUACAUAUCCUACUGUUGUCCAUCUCUGGUUCAUGAUACAAUGCAUGUUCUCCAUUGCACUUAGAUAACAUGCCUCCAUGUCUCUGGAGAAUUCCUCAGUCUUUCUAAAAUGCUUUUGAUGAAUACUGGCCGUUAUUUUGUAGAAUGUCCUGCCUCAAUUUCAGUUAGUCUGAUGUUUUCUCACGGUUAGGACUAAAGUUAUACAUUUUGUCUAAGAAUACCAUAGAAUUGAUGUUUUGUCCUACUCAGUGCAUCAUAUAAGAAAUUACAUGAAGUUCAUUUAUCUUAUUAUUAGUAAUGUUAACUAUGAUCACUUGGCUAAGUUGACAUCUCCACUUUGAAGUUACUAUUCUAUAAUUAUCUUGUGGGAAGAUACUUUCAUAUUAUGCAAAUAUGUUCUUUCCCAACAUAUAUUCACCACUAAUCUUAGCAUUCCUCCAAGGUUCUUUCUUGCAACAAUUAUUACUAUGAUAUUUGCAAAGUGAUGAUUCUUAUAUUUUAUGUCUCCUACAUUUAAUGAAAUCUUACUGUAAUAAAAUACUACCCACUCUCAAUCUUUGGUUUAUUAUUUAUGUCAAUAUGGAUUUUUUUUUUGAGUUGGAGUCUUGUUUUGUCAUCCAGGCUGGUGUGCAAUGGUGCGAUUUCCGCUCACUGCACUUCCACCUUCCGGGAUUCAAGCCAUUCUCCUGCCUCAGCCUCCGGAGUAGCUGGGACUACAGUCAUGUGCCACCAUGCCCGGCUAAUUUUUGUAUUUUCAGUAGAGGCAGGGAUUCACCACAUUGGUCAGGCUGGUCUUGAACUCCUGACCUCAAGUGAUCUGCCCGCCUCUGCCUCCCAAAGGGCUGGGAAUACAGGCAUGAGCAACUGCACCUGGCCUGGAUUAAUUGAAAAUUUUCUCCUGUAGAUUGUAAUAUAUUAUUAUUGUUAUCUAUUUUAUUGCCCCAAUUUUCUCAAAUUUGGCUAUGGAAGUUUAUUCAAAGUGGAUCUGUUUCCCUUUCACAUUUUCCCCAUUUUGUGAGCAUUUCCUUACUUCCUAACAUGACAAAAUAUUUCAAACUAAUCUUGUAUUUUCCCUGCCCAAUCCUGAUAUCAAAUAUGUCCCCAAGGAGCCUUGGUUCCUUUAAUUGGAGAAUGGUGUUCUCAUUGUUACUGGGAUGAUGUUGUUUCUAGGCCCUUUUGUUAGAGGAGCUAGAAAAUAUAUGUAUGUAUACUCACACAUUUAUACACAUCUGUACUUAUUUAUACAAUUAUCCAUCUGUACGUAUACUAAAAACAAUGAUUUCAUGAAACUUUUGAUCCCAAUCCAACACUAGAUAAAGACUAUAUAGGCCCAUUUAUUUGCAAAUCAGCACAUAAACAUAGAAGAAUUAUUAACAAUAUAAGCUGUAGCUUAUGCUAAAUGUUGGUUGGAACAGACAAUAAGUUAUGGAGAACUUCAGAGGACACUAAGGUUGGAUGGGAUUUUGGAAGUUGUACAGGUCAAUGCCACUCCAUCUAUUGGCGAGUUUCACUAGGUUAAUACAUGAACAACAACAAAAAUAACCUAGAUCAGAAGUUAAAGGUCAUUUUAUUGACUAUCUGCCGUGUCUGUGCCAUUGCAGUGUACUAGGUGCACUUACGAGUCCUCUACUUACAAACUGCUUUUCACAAAAUAUGAAACUCCAGGCAAAGGUUCAGACAUAUGACGUUUGUUUUUAAAAUCUUUCUACAGCCUUGUAUCCUUUUUCCUUUCCUUCCUUUUACCCUUUUUAAAAUGUGUUAUGAGUUUUAUCUUAGACUAACAUCAUCUGUAAUGUUGCUAUACGCCAGUAUUCAGUUGCUGUGUUUGAUGAAUCAUAAAAUGGUGUAAAACUUCAAUUAAUGUACUUUUUAAAUAAAGUAUCUAUGAAUGCAUCCAGCAAAAUGUUUAUGAUUUGAGUAUUCACACAAUAUUACUUUUCUCUGGAUCUAACAAUAAUGUGAAAACGCAAAAUGAAUAUAAAAUAUUAGCUAAUAAUAGAUUUCAAAG